GACGAACGCUGGCGGCGUGCUUAACACAUGCAAGUCGCACGGGACUGGGGGCAACUCCAGUUCAGUGGCGGACGGGUGCGUAACACGUAAGCAACAUGUCCAGGGGUGGGGGAUAGCCGGCCCAACGGCCGGGUAAUACCGCAUGCAGUGCGGGGAGGCAUCUCUCUGUACGAAAGCCGGGGCAACCUGGCGCCCAUGGAGUGGCUUGCGGCCUAUCAGCUAGUUGGUGGGGUAAUGGCUCACCAAGGCUACGACGGGUAGCUGGUCUGA
rnacentral:rRNA from 1 species